CCCGCCAGCCCCUCGGCCAGCUCCUCCACUCCCUGCAGGAUUUCUACAGCCACACCAACUGGAUUGAACUGGGACACAGCACGAUCCACCCAGACCUGCUCCAACCCGGCCAUGUGCUGGGCUCCAUCGCCAGAGCCGACGACCCGACGUGCCGGCCCUGUGUCGGGUGGACGUGCGAGGGGAACCUCCUGGACUCGCUCUGGCCACGCGGGCUGCUCACCAGCGGGUAUUUCGGCACCGAGGCAGAGAAACCGCCCGG